GACGAACGCUGGCGGCGUGCUUAACACAUGCAAGUCGAACGGAAAGGCCCCUUUGGGGGUCCUCGAGUGGCGAACGGGUGAGUAACACGUGAGUAACCUGCCCUUGACUUCGGGAUAACUUCAGGAAACUGGGGCUAAUACCGGAUAGGAAUCCUUGCUGCAUGGUGGGGGUUGGAAAGCUUCGGCGGUUUUGGAUGGACUCGCGGCUUAUCAGCUUGUUGGUGGGGUAGUGGCUUACCAAGGCUUUGACGGGUAGCCGGCCUGAGAGGGCGACCGGCCACAUUGGGACUGAGAUACGGCCCAGACUCCUACGGGAGGCAGCAGGGGGGAAUAUUGCACAAUGGGCGGAAGUCUGAUGCAGCAACGCCGCGUGCGGGAUGACGGCCUUCGGGUUGUAAACCGCUUUCAGCAGGGGCGAAGCUUGUGGUGACGGUACCUGCAGAAGAAGCACCGGCUAACUACGUG
rnacentral:rRNA from 1 species